rnacentral:rRNA from 1 species
AACGAGCGCUGGCGGCAGGCCUAACACAUGCAAGUCGAGCGAGGACUUCGGUCCUAGCGGCGGACGGGUGAGUAACGCGUGGGAACGUGCCCUUUGCUUCGGAAUAGCCCUGGGAAACUGGGAGUAAUACCGGAUGAGCCCUUUGGGGGAAAGAUUUAUCGGCGAAGGAUCGGCCCGCGUUGGAUUAGGUAGUUGGUGGGGUAAUGGCCUACCAAGCCGACGAUCCAUAGCUGGUUUGAGAGGAUGAUCAGCCACACUGGGACUGAGACACGGCCCAGACUCCUACGGGAAGCAGCAGUGGGGAAUCUUAGACAAUGGGGGAAACCCUGAUCUAGCCAUGCCGCGUGAGCGAUGAAGGCCUUAGGGUUGUAAAGCUCUUUCAGCUGGGAAGAUAAUGACGGUACCAGCAGAAGAAGCCCCGGCUAACUCCGUG